AUGCGGAAAAAAUGGGUCACACACCCAAAUUGGAUGUUUUCCAACAGCUGACCCAAAACGAGAGGAGGAGAGCCCUCGAUGCUUGCGCCACCCACCUCCGCUUCCCUCCCCACCGAGCAAUCCCUGCAUGCGUCGCUCCCUUCCUCCUCCCUGUGGAGCACCGAGCCUUCCUCCCUAGCGAUCCAAUCGAUUGGGCAUGGCGGAUCCAGCCUCUCGACCCGAGUGUCGAGUGCCCAGCCGGCGGCGUCCUCUCCCCUUCCGGUCAUCUGCGACGGAUCCAGUCGAUUGGGCAUGGUGGCGCUCCUUUCCCCGCAGAUCUGAGCGUUGAGCGCCAAGCCUCCCUCUCUUCCCACCAAGCGCCCAGCCAUCGGUGCCCUCUCCCGUUCCGGUCCUGCGGCGGCACCCAUCACAUCUCCGGUUUGGCUAGGAAGGGAAAUCGUCUGGAACCCUGGAGUUGCUUGAGAAAGGGAAGGUCACUCCAGACUGCACAUGGAAAAGGUCGAUGGGGGCUGCAGCUAAGGGGUUCUCUUCUCGGAUAUAAAUGCUGACGAGAGCUCUGCAUCAAAACAUUACAAUUAUGUUGUAUUUAACACAGGGUUUGAAAGUCAACACUCUCAGUCACUACUCUGAAGUUUAGUUGGAGCUUGCAAACAAGCAGGACAUUUAAGGUGCUUGGCAACCUACAGUAACAACCAAGCCACCUGCAAGGCCUAGGCAGCAUACCUGAUGGUGUCGACAAGUUAAAGUGCUUACCGAAGCUGUGUUUUGUUUUGAACCUGUUAGAGAUAAGACUAUGAGCUCACUGUUAAUGAAAUUUGAGUAAUGAGCUUUAGGUGUUAGUGAGCUAAGCUUUUGGUUACAAGGGGUGGAUGUAUGACUUUUGGUCACAUGAGGUAGAUGUGCGGAUGUUGAUGGCUUGCUCAUGCACAAACUUCAUGUCUGCGAGCUUCUAAUGUAUUUUGUACAUAUAUGAUGUUGAAUCUGACCAGCCAUAUAUUGGGCUAACUCAUAUAUGAAUGAAUCAAUAUCAAUGUUUUAUGCUCA